rnacentral:rRNA from 1 species
CUCAGAAUGAGCGCUGGCGGCAUGGCUAAGACAUGCAAGUCGAACGGACCAUAUAAUUGGGUAACCGAAAGUAUGGUUAGUGGCGAAAGGGUGAGGAAUAGAUAUGAACGUACCCUGUGCUCUGGGAUAGCGUCUGAAGCUUCGGCUUCUUCCGAAAGGGGCGGUAAUACCAGAUAAUGUCCUUCGGGACCAAAGAUUUAUCGGCAUUGGAGCGGCCUAUCUCCUAUCAGCUUGUUGGUGAGGUAACGGCUCACCAAGGCAACGACGGGUAUCGGGACUGAUAGGUUGGCCCGCCACAUCGGGACUGAGACACUGCCCGGACCUCCACGGAGGGCUGCAGUAACGGAUAUUGGGCAAUGGGCUGAAAGCCUGACCCAGCAAUGCCGCGUGCACGAUGAACCCCCUAGGGGUGUAAACUGCUGUCAGGGGUCAGAAAGCUGGUUUCGGCCAGUUGAUCAACCCCAGAGGAAGUCACGGCUAACUUCGUGCCAGCAGCCGCGGUAAUACGAAGGUGGCAAGCGUUAUUCGGAAUCAUUGGGCUUAAAGGUGCACUAAGGCGGAACAGUGUGUGUCGUGUGAAAUCCCCCGGCUUAACCGGGGAAUUGCACAGCAAACUGCUGUUCUUGAGGCAGGUAGGGGUGCAUGGAACUCUUGGUGGAGCGGUGGAAUGCGUCGAUAUCAGGAGGAACGCCAGAGGUGAAGACGGUGCACUGGGCCUGUCCUGACGCUGAGGUGCGAAAGCGUGGGGAGCGAACGGGAUCUAGAUACGCC